GCCGGGCACAGUGGCUUGUGCCUGUAGUCCCAACUAUUUGGGAGGCUGAGGCUGGAGGAUGUCUUGAGCCCAGGAGUUCUGGGCUGUAGUGUGCUACGUCGAUUAGGCGUCUGCAUUAAGGUCAGCAUCAAUGUGGUGACCUCCCGGGAACGGGAGACCACCAGGUUGCCUAACGAGGGAUGAACCAGCCCAGGUCAGAAACAGAGCAGGUCAAAAUUCCUGUACUGAUCAGUAGUGGGAUCACACCUGUGAAUAGCCACUGCCCUCCAGCCUGGGCAACAUAGCAAGACCCCAUCUCU
rnacentral:SRP_RNA from 1 species